CCGGAAGUAGCUCAGUCGGUAGAGCGGCGGCCUUAUAAGCCGUGUGUCGCAAGUUCAAUUCUUGCCUUCCGGA
rnacentral:tRNA from 1 species